rnacentral:rRNA from 1 species
UCCUGGAUUCAGCGGCGGACGGGUGAGUAAUGCCUAGGAAUCUGCCUGGUAGUGGGGGACAACGUUUCGAAAGGAACGCUAAUACCGCAUACGUCCUACGGGAGAAAGCAGGGGACCUUCGGGCCCUGCGCUAUCAGAUGAGCCUAGGUCGGAUUAGCUAGUUGGUGAGGUAAUGGCUCACCAAGGCGACGAUCCGUAACUGGUCUGAGAGGAUGAUCAGUCACACUGGAACUGAGACACGGUCCAGACUCCUACGGGAGGCAGCAGUGGGGAAUAUUGGACAAUGGGCGAAAGCCUGAUCCAGCCAUGCCGCGUGUGUGAAGAAGGUCUUCGGAUUGUAAAGCACUUUAAGUUGGGAGGAAGGGUUGUAGAUUAAUACUCUGCGAUUUUGACGUUACCGACAGAAUAAGCACCGGCUAACUCUGUGCCAGCAGCCGCGGUAAUACAGAGGGUGCAAGCGUUAAUCGGAAUUACUGGGCGUAAGGCGCGCGUAGGUGGUUUGUUAAGUUGGAUGUGAAAUCCCCGGGCUCAACCUGGGAACUGCAUCCAAAACUGGCAAGCUAGAGUAUGGUAGAGGGUGGUGGAAUUUCCUGUGUAGCGGUGAAAUGCGUAGAUAUAGGAAGGAACACCAGUGGCGAAGGCGA